rnacentral:rRNA from 1 species
GAUGAACGCUGGCGGCGUGCCUAAUACAUGCAAGUCGAGCGAACGGACGAGGAGCUUGCUCCUCUGACGUUAGCGGCGGACGGGUGAGUAACACGUGGAUAACCUACCUAUAAGACUGGGAUAACUUCGGGAAACCGGAGCUAAUACCGGAUAAUAUAUUGAACCGCAUGGUUCAAUAGUGAAAGACGGUUUUGCUGUCACUUAUAGAUGGAUCCGCGCCGCAUUAGCUAGUUGGUAAGGUAACGGCUUACCAAGGCAACGAUGCAUAGCCGACCUGAGAGGGUGAUCGGCCACACUGGAACUGAGACACGGUCCAGACUCCUACGGGAGGCAGCAGUAGGGAAUCUUCCGCAAUGGGCGAAAACCUGACGGAGCAACGCCGCGUGAGUGAUGAAGGUCUUCGGAUCGUAAAACUCUGUUAUUAGGGAAGAACAAAUGUGUAAGUAACUAUGCACGUCUUGACGGUACCUAAUCAGAAAGCCACGGCUAACUACGUG